UUGGUACGGGAGGCAGCAGUGGGGAAUAUUGCACAAUGGGGGGAACCCUGAUGCAGCCAUGCCGCGUGAAUGAAGAAGGCCUUCGGGUUGUAAAGGACUUUUGUCAGGGAAGAAAAGGAUAGGUUAAUACCCUGUCUGAUGACGGUACCUGAAGAAUAAGCACCGGCUAACUACGUGCCAGCAGCCGCGGUAAUCCAA
rnacentral:rRNA from 1 species